GGUGAUUUUAAUAUCCAUGUGGACAUUGACAGCAAUAGCCUUAGUACUGCUUUCAAUUCACUGCUAGAUUCUAUUGGUUUCAGUCAGAGGGUGCAUAAGGCCACGCACUGUUUUAACCACACCCUCGACCUUGUGCUAGAAUAUGGCAUCAAAAUUGACGAUCCUUUAUUAUCAGACCAUUUUUUAAUAACUUUCAAAUUCCUACUACCAGACUAUACGAAAUUAAAUAAAAGUUUCUACACUAGAUGCUUAUCUGACAGUGCUAUAGCUAAAUUUAAGGAAGAUAUUCCAACAGCACUCAACUCAAUGUCAUGCCUUAAUAUAACAGAGGAAUGUUAUGUUAACUUUAGUCCCUCCCAACUUGAUAACUUUGUAGACGCUGCUACGGCCUGCCUACGGACUACUUUAGACUUGGUUGCUCCUAUCAAAAAGAAGAUGAUGAAGGAAAGGAAACUAGCACCUUGGUAUAACUCCCAAACUCGCAAAUUAAAACAAAUCUCACGAAAACUUGAAAGUAAAUGGCGUUCCACCAAACUGGAAGAAUCUCGUGUGGAUUGGCAAGAUAGUCUAAAAACUUAUAGCAGGGCCCUCAGAAAUGCCAGAUCAGACUACUACUCAAUACUAAUAGAAGAAAAUAAGAACAACCCAAGGUUUCUUUUCAGCACUGUAGCCAGGCUGACAAAGAGUCAUAGCUCUGUUGAGCCAUCUAUUCCUAUAGCUCUGAGCAGUGAUGACUUCAUGACCUUUUUUAAUGAUGAAAUUAUAACAAUUAGAGAAAAAAUUCAUCACCUUCUGCCCACAGCUUCUAACGGCUCACCAUUGGGCGCAGGAGGGCUAGAGAGAACGAUAAGACCUGAUACUUAUUUAGACGGCUUUUAUCCUUUAGACCGCCAACAAUUAAUGUUAAGGGUCUCUUCAGCUAAGCCAACUACCUGUCUCUUAGACCCCAUUCCAACGAGGCUACUUAAAGAAGCACUACCCGUGGUCAAUACCACAUUACUAGAUACGAUCAAUAUGUCCUUAU
rnacentral:lncRNA from 1 species